GUAGGUGAACCUGCGGAAGGAUCAUUAUUGAAUGAAUGUAGAGUUGGUUGUGCUGGCCCCUCGGGGCAUGUGCACGCCUUCUCUUUCAUCCACACACACCUGUGCACUUGUGAGACGGAAGCCUUUCGGGGAGUCCGUCUGCUCCACAUAAACUCAUAUAUUUAAAACGAAUGUAAUUGAUGUAACACAUCUUUAAACUAAGUUUCAACAACGGAUCUCUUGGCUCUC
rnacentral:misc_RNA from 1 species